UACGUAGGGUGCAAGCGUUAAUCGGAAUUACUGGGCGUAAAGCGUGCGCAGGCGGUUUUGUAAGUCAGAUGUGAAAUCCCCGGGCUCAACCUGGGAACUGCAUCUGUGACUGCAUUGCUGGAGUGCGGCAGAGGGGGAUGGAAUUCCGCGUGUAGCAGUGAAAUGCGUAGAUAUGCGGAGGAACACCGAUGGCGAAGGCAAUCCCCUGGGCCUGCACUGACGCUCAUGCACGAAAGCGUGGGGAGCAAACAGG
rnacentral:rRNA from 1 species